AUUCCGGUUGAUCCUGCCGGAGGCCAUUGCUAUUGGAGUCCGAUUUAGCCAUGCUAGUCGUACGAGUUCAUACUCGUGGCGAAUAGCUCAGUAACACGUGGCCAAUCUCCCCUUCAGCGGCGGAUACUCUCGGGAAACUGAGGUUAAUCCGCCAUACACCUCUCACGUUGGAAUACCGAGAGGUCGAAACGCUUUCCAGCGCUGAAGGAUGAGGCUGCGGCCGAUUAGGUAGACGGUGGGGUAACGGCCCACCGUGCCCAUAAUCGGUACGGGUCGUGAGAGCGAGAGCCCGGAGACGGAAUCUGAGACAAGAUUCCGGGCCCUACGGGGCGCAGCAGGCGCGAAACCUUUACACUGCACGCCAGUGCGAUAAGGGGACUCCAAGUGCGAGGGCAUAUCGUCCUCGCUAUCCUGUACUGUAGGGUAGUACAGUAUCAAGAGCUGGGCAAGACCGGUGCCAGCCGCCGCGGUAAUACCGGCAGCUCAAGUGAUGG
rnacentral:rRNA from 1 species